AACUCUUAAUGAUAGAUCGCUCAGCUCGUGUCAAUGAAGAAUGCAGCUAGGUGUGAGAAUUAACGUGAAUUGCAGAACACAUUGGUCAUCAAGACUUCGAACGCACUUGCAGCCCCGGGUUCCUCCCAGGGCUAUGCCUGUCUGAGCGUCG
rfam:Alligator sinensis unplaced genomic scaffold scaffold122_2, whole genome shotgun sequence